ACCACUAAGCCAGUGGUGAACUCCACAUACGCAUCCUUUGCUGAGGAUACGGUUAACGGAGCGAAAGCGACGUUCAACCGCAAAAGAAGCAGAGGGGGCUUAGUGGUGGGGUGACUGCGUACCUUUUGUAUAAUGGGUCAGCGACUUAUAUUCUGUAGCAAGGUUAACCGAAUAGGGGAGCCGGAGGGAAACCGAGUCUUAACCGGGCGUUAAGUUGCAGGGUAUAGACCCGAAACCCGGUGAUCUAGCCAUGGGCAGGUUGAAGGUUGGGUAACACUAACUGGAGGACCGAACCGACUAAUGUUGAAAAAUUAGCGGAUGACCUGUGGCUGGGGGUGAAAGGCCAAUCAAACCGGGAGAUAGCUGGUUCUCCCCGAAAGCUAUUUAGGUAGCGCCUCGUGAAUUCAUCUCCGGGGGUAGAGCACUGUUUCGGCUAGGGGGCCAUCCCGGCUUACCAACCCGAUGCAAACUGCGAAUACCGGAGAAUGUUAUCACGGGAGACACACGGCGGGUGCUAACGUCCGUCGUGAAGAGGGAAACAACCCAGACCGCCAGCUAAGGUCCCAAAGUCAUGGUUAAGUGGGAAACGAUGUGGGAAGGCCCAGACAGCCAGGAUGUUGGCUUAGAAGCAGCCAUCAUUUAAAGAAAGCGUAAUAGCUCACUGGUCGAGUCGGCCUGCGCGGAAGAUGUAACGGGGCUAAACCAU
rnacentral:rRNA from 1 species